rnacentral:rRNA from 1 species
CAGUCGCCGCGGUAAUACGUAGGGUGCGAGCGUUGUUCAGAAUUACUGGGCGUAAAGCGCACGUAGGCGGCUUGGUAAGUUAGAGGUGAAAUCCCAGGGCUCAACCCUGGACAGGCGGUGGAAACUACCAAGCUAGAGUACGGUAGGGGCAGAGGGAAUUUCCGGUGGAGCGGUGAAAUGCGUUGAGAUCGAAAAGAACACCAACGACGAAAGCACUCUGCUGGGUCGACACUGAUACUGAGAGAUGAAAGCUAGGGGAGCAAAUGGGAUUAGAUACCCCAGUAGUCCCUGUCUCUUAUAC